UACGGGGGGGGCAAGCGUUGUUCGGAAUUACUGGGCGUAAAGGGCUCGUAGGCGGCCAACUAAGUCAUACGUGAAAUCCCUCGGCUUAACCGGGGAACUGCGUCUGAUACUGGAUGGCUUGAGUUCGGGAGAGGGAUGCGGAAUUCCAGGUGUAGCGGUGAAAUUCGUAGAUAUUGGGAAGAACACCGAUGGCGAAGGCAGCCAUCUGGACCGACACUGACGCUGAGGCGCGAAAGCGUGGGGAGCAAACAGG
rnacentral:rRNA from 1 species